UAGUCAUAUGCUUGUCUCAAAGAUUAAGCCAUGCAUGUCUAAGAUCGCUCUGAACCGCAAGGCUUACCGGCAAUCUGCGAAAGGCUCAUUAUAACAGUUACAAACUUAGCCACUAGUUUCCUUUAUAAGGAUAACACAGCCAACUGCAGCGAUAAUACUUGCACAAACGUUAACGAAUUGAAUAGUUAACAAGUGAUAGCACUAAGGGAACAUGUGCUAUCUACCUCGCAAGAGGUGUUGACCACGGCAACGUGGCCUAGAGGAAGUAUCUCUUCCUUAUCAGUUAGUUGUUUCAGUAAGGGUGAAACAAGACAGUUACGGGUACGGGGAAUCAGUGUUCGAUUCCGGAGAGGGAGCCUGAGAAAUGGCUACUACAUCUAA
rnacentral:rRNA from 1 species